UCUAAUGGUGUUUGAAUGGUUUUUCUAAGUUGAAUGGUGUUGAAGGAGAGGUGGCUGGGAAACAUCAGCGAUCUGAGCCCCUUCGUGUUUGCAGUGGUGAUGGACAAGUUGACAGAAGAGUGAGACCUGCUGUGACGUGUGGUUUGGAGAUGAUGGCACUGACAGAAUGACAGGAAGCAGAGGUGAACAUGGCAGUAAUGAAGAUUUCCAGUGUGAGUAACCAGAAUGGACGGGAUUAGAAAUGGACACUUAGAGAGUAACAGCUGAGAUGUACAUUAUAAAGUUACUGGUGACUGUAUGUGUAUGUUUUUUUAGAACUAUAUCUCUUGAUUUUAAAAUAUCCUGAACCCACUUGGUAAUUAGUGGUUUACAAAGCUGCGUCACUAAGGGUUCAAUAGGUUUUAAAAACAGCAGAGGGGGGAUAUUUUCAACACUUUAGAAAGUGGGAUUAAAAAACCCAUUAAUGACUGUUUGGGAAGUGAAACCCUUUUUGGGACAUCUGGGACCCAAAGCAGCUCUUAUUACAGUCACUGGGUCCAUUUCCUAUGUUUACGUACUUUAUAAGAACACAAAUUUACAACCCUUUGUUUUGUUAGAGCAAAAGAUCUUGUGCUCUUAGCUAAUAAUAAUAAACUUUAUUUAUAAAGCACACUUAAAAACCAAGGGUAUGCCAAGGUGCUUAACAAGUAACAUAGAGAGUAGGAGGAAGAUAAUAGAAAUAGGACCAAAGCAAGUACUAGGUAUGCAAGCAGAUAGCUGUCACUGAUACUGAUACAGAUAUUUAUCUGCUUAUUUUUGAAGGUAUAUUUUUGUUCUUUAGCUCACUUUAUACCACUGUUUCAUAGUGACAGCUUUUGAAAAGCACAAAGAUUUUUAAAUGAGUCAUACUUCAGAUAUUGGGGCGGUAUUAUAGUCAUUGGGUCUAGUGCUUUUUUUAUGUGUCUUGUAAUCAUACAUGUUUACCACUUUUAAAAAAAUAGUAUAACGUGUCCUCAGACAUUUCAUCGACUUUUAAAUUGUUUUUGUGCCUGAGCGGCGGUGAGGUGAGUGAGAGGGGCGGUGGAGCGACGCAGACGGAAACCGUCUGGGCGGAGAGAGAGAGAGGACUAUAUACAGCGGCGGAAGGAGCGCAGCGUCACAGAGGUGAGUGCUGCGGAGCUGCCAUCAGACAGGAGAGAAGCUCGUCACCCACUCAUCAACCAGCGGCUUGUUCUCAGGCCCUGCUGCAGAAUCCCUCAUCAUGACAAAAGAGGAGAACCUGGAGGUGCAGGAGAAGGAGAGGCACGACCGGGAGGAGCAGGAGGAGGGGAGGGUCCAGAGAGAGGAGGAGGAGGCACUGACUGAAGAAGAGGAGGAGGAAGAAGAAGUAGAGGAGGA